rnacentral:piRNA from 1 species
UAAAAAAUGAGAGUCGAGGCCUGAAGAUGG